AGAAAAUAAAAGUUUGCUUGGUGACAUGAGCUUGUCUGCCUGUCUGUGUCCAGGGCAAUGUUAACACUGUGUAUGACUUUGCACGAGGUCUUGCAACACAUGGAAAUUUACGCAUGCCAUCUUCAAUCCCAUUCCAACCACAUAAAAGAAGACUUGCCAAAUCAACGCAGGAAAACAUUGACUCAGCAAAGCAGGGUAGACUGAAGAUAUCUCUUCCUUGGUUGACUGAGAAGUCAGAAAAUCCAAGCCAACAAAGCCACUUAGUCAAGCUGAUCACUAUGUUCUUUACGACAGACUGCACGAGUCCAACACAAAAGACCCUCAGGAUGUAUUGAGACAAAUUAACUUGGUUCCAGAGCUACGAGGAUGGCUAAACAGUCAAGUUGUGCUGCAGUUCUUUGCAAACUUACGGAAAAGCAACUACUUUCUCAACAAUAUGGCAGCCUCAACACACAUUUUCAUGAUACGCAACAUAGUCCAUUACAAAAAAACAACAACAAACAAGAAGAUUUUGGAGCUCCAGUUACAGCGUGGACACAGAUCUCAUGACAUUGCAAACAUCACCUUCUCUGACUUAGGAUAAGCAAUAGUAGGUUAGUAGACAUCAGCAGACCUCUAUCAUGUGUUAUGUAUCUUAUAAUUGUUCAUGACUUACUUUAAAUUAUGUCCUAAUUUCUCUAGCAACACUGGCAAGUCAAAAGGCAUCAAGUCUGUCAAGAUGUACUACCUCUGUACACGAACAUGUAGAGGAGUCACUGGAGUCGAGUGCUGAAACAGGCAAAACACCAUGUGGACUUUGGUGUGAAGCAAUAACAAAUUGUCAAAAUAUUUCUGCAUGUCGUGCAAGCUGGACCUUACAGUAUCACCCGACUCUAAAAGAACUGCUGGACUAUGUACUUGACACUGAGAGACCAGGAACAGAACUUAUUGUUGGAACCACAAAAGCAUGUCUUACUCGUGCUGACUUUAGGAGCCUGGGCCCGUACAAAGUUUUUUACAGGUCCUGACGAACAUUGAGAAGAUCAUCGGGGAGUUGGGAGCAGCAGCCAAAGCGCCGUUGGAGAAGGUUUACACGGGAGUGUCAGCUGCAUCAUCGGGGCCCGACCUUUGGAUCUCCUUGGGGGAAGAUGUUCCUUGUGGGACAGGAUGCGCAAAACCCUGGUUUUCUGCUUGGGGAGGAGUACUGUGGUCUUUGGCCGGCUUUUCAUCCCGGCCAAUACCCCCAGGCCGCCAGAUGGAGCCCUCCCUGCA